UGGGGAAUUUUGGACAAUGGGCGAAAGCCUGAUCCAGCAAUGCCGCGUGUGUGAAGAAGGCCUUCGGGUUGUAAAGCACUUUUGUCCGGAAAGAAAUCCUUGGCUCUAAUACAGUCGGGGGAUGACGGUACCGGAAGAAUAAGCACCGGCUAACUACGUGCCAGCAGCCGCGGUAAUACGUAGGGUGCAAGCGUUAAUCGGAAUUACUGGGCGUAAAGCGUGCGCAGGCGGUUUGCUAAGACCGAUGUGAAAUCCCCGGGCUCAACCUGGGAACUGCAUUGGUGACUGGCAGGCUAGAGUAUGGCAGAGGGGGGUAGAAUUCCACGUGUAGCAGUGAAAUGCGUAGAGAUGUGGAGGAAUACCGAUGGCGAAGGCAGCCCCCUGGGCCAAUACUGAC
rnacentral:rRNA from 1 species